rnacentral:rRNA from 1 species
GACGAACGCUGGCGGCGUGCCUAAUACAUGCAAGUCGAACGAGAGCGACCGGUGCUUGCACUGGUCAAUCUAGUGGCGAACGGGUGAGUAACACGUGGGUAACCUGCCCAUCAGAGGGGGAUAACAUCCGGAAACGGAUGCUAAAACCGCAUAGGUCUUCGAGCCGCAUGGCUUGAAGAGGAAAAGAGGCGCAAGCUUCUGCUCAUGGAUGGACCCGCGGUGCAUUAGCUAGUUGGUGAGGUAACGGCUCACCAAGGCCGUGAUGCAUAGCCGACCUGAGAGGGUGAUCGGCCACAUUGGGACUGAGACACGGCCCAAACUCCUACGGGAGGCAGCAGUAGGGAAUCUUCCGCAAUGGGCGCAAGUCUGACGGAGCAACGCCGCGUGAGUGAAGAAGGUUUUCGGACCGUAAAACUCUGUUGUUAGAGAAGAACAAGUGCUAGAGUAACUGUUAGCGCCUUGACGGUAUCUAACCAGAAAGCCACGGCUAACUACGUG